rnacentral:lncRNA from 1 species
CUCAUCUGAAUUGUACUCCCACAAUUCCCACACGUUGUGGGAGGGACCCAUCGGGAGAUAACUUGAAUCAUGGGGAAGUUUCCCCUACACUGUUCUCAGGGAAGUGAAUAAGUCUCAUGAGAUCCGACGGUUUUAUCAGGGGUUUUCGCUUGUACAUCUUCCUCACUUUCUCUUACCACCGCCAUGUAAGAAGUGCCUUUCACUGCCCACCAUGAUCCUGAGACCUCCCCAGCCAUGUGGAACUAACCUGUUGCCAAGGAAACAUCAAUAUCCAAGUACAUUCAAGAUACAGCAAAGGAAGUAGAAGCAGAGCUUUGGAUUCAGGGGAAUCCUCAUCCAUCACAUUUUCUGGUUUUGCAUGAAGCAUUAUUUUUCAACCCUG